CGGGAGGGCGCCCGUCCCAGCCAAUCGGAAGCCCUCGGGGUUCCAUACUCACCUUCCCGCCACGCCGCCUUCUCAGGAGGCUGGCCCCCCUUGGUAAAAUCGUAAGUGACCAAAAAUAAGUGUCUGACUCGUUUUUCUAGUCGUAAGUUGGGUGAGGGUCACCACCGCGCCCAGCUCCUAACCACGUUCUUUAGUGGCAAGAGGAAAGAAGGCAGCCACCCGUUUCAAGGAUGCUCGAGGGAGCCCCAGAGGAACUAACGGUCUUCAGGAUUGCUGCAAGUUCUUUUUCUCUCAGCCCUGCAGGCAAGAAGCCCAACUCGGGGCCAGUGAAAAGGGGAGCACUCCCGGCCAGGUGUCCUCGUGUGCCACGGCGGCGCCCACACUCGUCCACCUCUUAAGACUAGGCCUACAGGUAAACGGGGGAAAAAAAAAAAAAAAAACAGAAAACAGAAAAACCAGACCUGAUGUCAUGGAGGUCAGAGUGGAGAUGGAGGAAUGCAACAGAUGCCAACAAUGCAAUGUGUACACUCUGAUGUGGGACCUCAGUGAAGUUACAGACCCACCAUCAGAGAGCAUUAAGAGGGGAAAUGACAUUACAGACACAACCGUAUAAGAGAACAGAAAGGAGAGAUGCUAAGAGAAAAGAGACUGGUUCAGACUGCAUUGCUCCACGUGCUGACUCUUGAACCCUGGAAAUAUGGCUAAUCUUAAUCAAGACAUGCUGCACUUUUAAAAGGUCUGAUGCACAUGAGAAGGAGAGCUGCACCUGCGACAUUUGGACGCUAGGGGUUCAAUCGAAGCAGCAUCUAUGAUCUACACCACAGCUUUCGGCAAUGCCUGAUCCUUAACCCAGUGAGCAAGGCCAGCAAUUGAAACCGCAUCCUCAUGGACUCUAUGUCAGUUUCUUAACUGAAUCACGAUGGGAACUCCUGCCCUACAAUUUUCUGAGUACAUGACAUGUCUACUGUAUUUUAGCAAUCCCUAGCUUGUCUGUCCGUUUCAAUAGAAGUGGUGUCUAGGAGUUCCCUGGUGGCCUAUUGGUUAAGGAUCUGAUGUUGUCUCUGCUUCAGCUGUGGUUGCUGCUGUGGUACGGGUUCAAUUCCUGGCCCAGGAACUUCUCAAUGCUGAGGGCAUGGCCAAAAAGAAAAGUGACGUCUAGUUUCAAAAGUGAUUUUGCAAUUGUGAAUCUGAUUUGCUGAGUGGUGCGGCCAGAGCUUUGUAAGGGAUACCAGAGCUGGUCAGAGGUGCUUGCUGGGUAGGCAGAACUGUGGGCCUUUGUACACACUUAAAGAUUAGGAAGUACAGGAGUUCGCAAGAUGGCUCAGUGGUAACAAACCCAACUAGUAUCCAUGAAGAUGCAGGUUCGAUCCCUGGCCUCCUUCAGUGGGUUAAGGAUCCGGCAUUGCUGUGACUUUGGUGUAGGUCACAGACUUGGCUCAGAUAUGGCUGUGGUGUGGCUGGCAGCUGCAGUGCCAAUUUGACCCUAGCCUGGGAACAUCCGUAUGCCGCAGGUGCGGCCCUAAAAAAACAAAACAAAACAAAAA
rnacentral:lncRNA from 1 species